CACAUGCUUGCAGCCUUCUAAAGUGUUGUGAUGUUACUUUGUAUGGGCAGAUGCCUGAAGCCUUCUGAAAGGCCUUCUCAGCCUUUCUACCUUAGCACACAGCAUGCAAAAGGAAAAACAGUUCCCUAAAUGCUCUCAAUCCCUCCACAAAAGGCUCCAUUCUUCCAGAGCUUUGGGGCAGCAGCAGAGGAGAAUCCCACCCACCCCUCCGGAAUCAGCAUCAGAACAGCAGCGCUGAGGAUUUGCAUGGAGCAUCCAGCAGCUCCUGCUCGUGGAGCUGUGAAUGUGUUCAUUUUUUAGCUUCAACAAGGUCAUUCCCACUGCUAAGCAUAAUCCUGACACAUUAGCAGGAGUGCUGUCCAAUCCAUUCGCACUCCAUUAAGCAGCAGCACUGCCGGGAAGGUUUUCCUGCUCUCUCUCAGACUUCCUUCCCCCCCAGUCACACACAGGGAAUCAUCUCUCAGGAGCUCAGGUGGCCGUGAGGAGAGCACAGCAUGUCCUGCAGUGCCUGCUUCCCGAGGAAAGUGGCAGCUGAUUUUUUCCAUCACUCCCACCUGGGAUUUCCAUCAAAAUCUCUCCAGGCCACUGCCUGCAUUUCAGACUUGCUUUCUGGGAAAACACAGUGCUGGGGUUUUGACAAUAACCUUUCCACCGAGUUGGAAAGAUCCUCUGUGGGUUUGUUUCACUGCCCUGAUUUUGUGACAAAGCUCAGGGAGAGACUCCUGCCUCGUCCUGCUUGGAUGGGUGUCAGUUCUGCAUGAGCUGGGCCAGCUCAGGAGGCUGCACAAGGAAAUAUUCCCUGUCAAUUAAACUGGAGGAAGUGUCAGCAGGAGAGGAGUGAAGCAGCCUCCUCUGAGAGCUCUCCCUGGGGACAGCAGGUCCUUUCCUGUCUGGAUUCCAUGAGCCACUUGUCCAGCCAGAAGUGGAGACACAGACUAGUGUGCCAGGAGACAAAUUCCCCAUUUUCUAGAGCUUUCUGCAGAAGCUGUCCCCCAGUUCAGACAUUUUUUUUCCUUAGACCUUUUAGGCCAGUAAUCAGAUCAGUAGCUUGGGACUGAAUAAAGUUUUGGGUUAGUUCUGGUUCUUCAUCCCUCAGAGUUUGUGAUUCUGUAAAAGAACCUGGAGACUCCUCUGUGAGUUUUUCUUCCCCCUGUCACGCCUGGUUAGGUCACAGUUUAUAGAAUCAUGGAAUAAUGUGUUGGAAGGGACCUCAAACAUCAUCUGGUCCAACCUCUCUUAACAAAAGCACAGUCUAGACAAGGUGACCCAGCUCCUUGUCCAGCUAAACCUUAAAAGUGUCCAAAGUUGGGCAUUCCACCACUUCCCUGGGGAGAUCAUUCCAAUGGCUGACUGUUCUCACUGUGAAAAAUCUCCUCUUGUGCCCCAACGUUUUAUGGAUGAGGUUUCCUCUGAUCCUGCUGCAGUUCUGAGCUCCCCUGAAACCAUGGGACAGGGAACAUGGUUUGGAAAAAUCUCAGAGCUGGAAUUGUCACCUUGCCUUGGUCUGCUGGCAGCAGGGUGUUGCUGGCCCAGCCCAGCACCUGCCAUGAAGUGCUCCUGUCUUGGCCCAAACCCCCAGGUUUAACUGAAGUCUCAGCAGAAUAAUGUGAGUCCAUGGAAAUCAAUGGAGAAGAGCUGAAAACAAUUGAUUGGAAUCAAAACACGCUGCAAUCAAAUUUGGAGGGACUGAACUAAUGGAUCAUAAGGUGCCUGGUGAAUGGGGCUGAUUGAAUUGA